UCUAUUAUUAUACGGGAAUGAAGUUUAAUUAUUUGAUUAAAAAAUUUUUUUAUUUAAAUAUCACGUUAAAAAAUGCAAUAGUUCAGAGAGCAUUUAAUGUAUUGUCCCUCUCAAAAUUUCGAGGCAGGCGGCAGCAAGUAUUUAAAAGCCAGGCCAUCGCCAGGCAAAGUCCACCAACGCGUGUUCAUCACUUUAGUCUUGAGAGAGAUCCUCCCUUCCCUCCUUCAUUCCUUCAUCCUAAUUCAUUCAGGUUAAAGGGGCUCAUGGGAACCGUUGACGCUGCAAACAAGGAUGUCAAUGUUAGCUUGGCCGACAAAAAGCCAACAGUUGUUUUUGUUUUGGGUGGCCCCGGCAGUGGAAAAGGUACCCAGUGUGCAAAUAUAGUCGAGCACUUUCAUUACACCCAUCUCAGUGCUGGAGAUCUUCUCCGAGCAGAAAUUAAGUCUGGUUCUGAAAAUGGGUAUGACAUACAUACAUGCCUGCAAAAGCUAGACAUAACCAUGAUUCAGAACAUGAUCAAAGAAGGAAAGAUUGUUCCUUCUGAGGUCACAAUUAGGCUUCUCCAAAAAGCAAUGUUGGAAAGUGGUAAUGACAAAUUCCUAAUUGAUGGUUUUCCUCGUAAUGAGGAAAACCGUGCAGCAUUUGAAGCUGUUACAAAAAUCGAACCAGAGUUUGUCCUGUUUUUUAAUUGCCCUGAAGAAGAGAUGGAGAGGCGUCUUCUGAGUAGGAACCAGGGAAGAGAAGAUGAUAACAUCGAAACAAUAAGGAAGCGAUUCAUGGUGUUUCUACAGUCCAGCCUUCCUGUGAUUGAGUACUAUAAGGCCAAGGGGAAGGUCAGAGAGAUUGAUGCUGCAAAGCCCAUAGAAGAGGUGUUUGAGGCGGUUAAAGUUGUGUUCAUCCGAAAAGAUGAACAGGUAAAGGGUCAUGGGUUUGCCCUUCUUUGUUAGAAAACAAAACUAAGAAAGUGGAUAUCACUGCAUUUGUAAAUAUAAUAAUUUAAAGGUAUCCAAUCCAAUCAUAGUCGUAUAUGUAGUAGGUACUUAUUAUUUUUCUUUGAAGCAAUGAUAGAUACAUUAUUAAAUGAAUGUAUUUGUUAUAGGAAGAAAAGUGGAUACCUAUGUGAUUGCAAGAUGAACAGCAUGGGAUGUUGGGAUGUGAAGCCAAAAAAAGGGAGCUUGUCCAGAGCAUGAACUUUGUAUCUAUGUGAAAUUAAAGUUUAAUUAUCAUAAGAAGAAAAAAGAACACUAUGACUAUUUCUUUGAAACAAGGUGUGGGAUGAUAGUUUGAUAUUUUGAGACAUGAAACACAGAAAGGUCACUGCCUAGGCUUUGGAGCUCCACCAGUGGAAUUAGCAUAUUCAUUCAAGGUUAUAUGUCACAGUUUGCUGCACAUUACUGUAUUCUAACGGGCAAGUUUUUUUGUAUCACAUAGCAUUUGGUUUAUAAUUACAUUACCUGAUGAAGUUCAUGCCUCUUAUGAAGUUCAUGCCCCUAUAUUCUUUUUAUCGUAUUUUCUCAUUCUAAUAGCAUUUUUAGUGCUGAUAAUCACAAUAAAUGUUCUGGUUUACGCGAAAUUCUUAUUCUCUGCAUAAUUAAGUUGCCACUGUGAAUGCUUCGAAGGUAAUGUUAUCAUUGGAGGCCACCGACACUGGCAUCUAAUAUGUGUAUUGGUUGUCCUGAUUGGAGAUACUAAAAUCUGAAACGUAAUUGGAUCCCCCAGUAUUUGCAC